AACGAACGCUGGCGGCAUGCCUAACACAUGCAAGUCGAACGAGACCUGCGGGUCUAGUGGCGCACGGGUGCGUAACGCGUGGGAACCUGCCCUUAGGUUCGGAAUAACUCCCCGAAAGGGGUGCUAAUACCGGAUAAUGUCUUCGGACCAAAGAUUUAUCGCCUUUGGAUGGGCCCGCGUUGGAUUAGCUAGUUGGUAGGGUAAAAGCCUACCAAGGCGACGAUCCAUAGCUGGUCUGAGAGGAUGAUCAGCCACACUGGGACUGAGACACGGCCCAGACUCCUUCGGGAGGCAGCAGUGGGGAAUAUUGGACAAUGGGCGAAAGCCUGAUCCAGCAAUGCCGCGUGAGUGAUGAAGGCCUUAGGGUUGUAAAGCUCUUUUACCCGGGAUGAUAAUGACAGUACCGGGAGAAUAAGCUCCGGCUAACUCCGUG
rnacentral:rRNA from 1 species